rnacentral:rRNA from 1 species
UGGGGAAUAUUGCACAAUGGGCGCAAGCCUGAUGCAGCCAUGCCGCGUGUAUGAAGAAGGCCUUCGGGUUGUAAAGCACUUUCAGCGGGGAGGAAGGCGGUGAGGUUAAUAACCUCAUCGAUUGACGUUACCCGCAGAAGAAGCACCGGCUAACUCCGUGCCAGCAGCCGCGGUAAUACGGAGGGUGCAAGCGUUAAUCGGAAUUACUGGGCGUAAAGCGCACGCAGGCGGUCUGUCAAGUCGGAUGUGAAAUCCCCGGGCUCAACCUGGGAACUGCAUCUGAUACUGGCAAGCUUGAGUAUCGUAGAGGGGGGUAGAAUUCCAGGUGUAGCGGUGAAAUGCGUAGAGAUCUGGAGGAAUACCGGUGGCGAAGGCGGCCCCCUGGACAAAGACUGACGCUCAGGUGCGAAAGCGUGGGGAGCAAACAGG